GGCCUUAAGGUGAUAAUCACAUCGAAUUGCAAAUUCGAAGGU
rnacentral:tRNA from 1 species